UUCUACUAAAGGAUACUAGACAUCCAUUGGUCUUAGGAACCAACAUCCUUGGUGCAAAUCCAAGUAGCAGAA
rnacentral:tRNA from 1 species